CUCCCUUCCCCGCAUGAUCCUCCCUUCCCCUUUCUGCUUUAUCUCUGGACCACGCCGUCUUUUUCUCCUCGCACACGCCUCUCUCGCCUCGCUAUUUUCUUCUACUGCAAGUCAAAACGGGAGAGGAGGAAAAUCCCCAUCGCCACCGUGCCUUCCUCACCGUCGCCUGGCCAGCUCCGACCACCCCUCGCCUCACCGACGCCACGUCGAGCUCCCCCUCGUCGUCCUCUUCAAUCCCCUGCAAGGAAUCGUACUCGCGCGCUUUGAAUCGCCACCGUUCUCGCCGUUUUCUUCUCCGACCCCGGCAGACUUCUUCGCCGAUUCCGCCGCCGUCCGACGUCCUCCGCCUCCAUCAACCUCACCAACGUCUUCCAGAUGCCCGUCUCCGACCAAGCUCAGGUGGCCCCCAAGUGUCGCGCCGCCCGUUUUGGGUUCACCACGGCGAGGCACGGCUCCUGCGCCCACUUCCCCGUCUCAGACCGGCCUCCCUCGUCGAGGCCACCAUCGAGCCCGCGCUUCCUCCGCCACAGACUCCGCCGGCUCCGCCUCUUCCUCGUCGACCCGAGCGCCCCCAAACCUUCCUACCUCGCCACGAACCUCCCGCGAUAAGUAGCAACAGUAGAUGGUUCGCCACGGUGGCAGCCAGCGUGGCGCGUGGGCCCCUUCGUCAGCGACCAGGGCUGGAUCCCCUCUCGCAUUUGCUUCUUCACGGAUAGAAUCACGAAGUGUUGAUGUGAGAUACGACGAGUUCUCCGACAAGUUCUUCUGCAGCUUUUCACAGGAGAGCCCUCUCUCUUCACCUAUUAUACACUCUCCCUCGCAUUUCUAUCCUUAUGUUGCGCUUCUUUAUCGAGUCACGUGUCCUAUUCCACUUGUUUACCAUAAUAAUCCUAUAUGUAUCAUUCCUCACCCAUAGUCGUUGCUUGAUGUUUGAGCCUUGCGAGUCGUAGGCGUGUUUAGGCUCUGUUGUUUAUCUCGAUCUGUUAUCGGGAAAUGUUGGGUUGUUGGGAGGUUAUCACAUGCUAUAUCAGUUGUUGGAGAUACACAUGCUUUUCUUAAUUGUUAACAACUAAAAUUGUAAGCAGAGGCAUAUGUGAGCCCCUUUGCGAAAGCAUCGGAACUUUGACUUGCUGAUGUCCCCUAGGACCCGAGUUCUUGUUAUCUGUUCCGAGAUUGAGCGCUCUACCCAUGCGUGGGGACGAUUAUUGGGACCCCCCCUCACCCAUUACCUUUUCUCAAGUUAGUUGAAAAGGGGGCCACAACCUUGGUUUUAUUUUCCUAUGCCAUGUAUGCCAUGCUUUAUUACUGUUGCCUUCGGGUGUUUACUUACUGUUGCCUUCGGGUGUUUACUUCCUGUUGCCUUCGGGUGUUUAUAUUCUGUACUGUACCCCGCGGGAUGUUUAGCGAAGCUUGUGGUUUGCACGCCUAGCCGCCGACGCAAACCCUGAGUCCGUCUCGGAGUACGGCCGGACUUCGUCACGGGUAGCUUAGUCGGGUGCCCCCCCUAGACUUUCUUGUUGAACUGGGAACGGUCUUGUUGUGAGACAUCCACCUGUCGUAAGUGGGUCGAGCAUGCGUAUGGUUACAUUUGGGCAACCCCUGCAGGGUGUACAUCUUAUCGAUAAGCCGUGUCCGCGGUUAUGGACGACUUGGAAUUGUAUAGCUUGAUCAUAGAACAACUUACACCUUAUACUUGUUGUUAAUAAUCUGAUAAUAACUUGCGUAAUAAUAUAGCAUUACUACAACCGAUACCUAAUAAAAAUUGUCCACCGUUGAGUGCCUUUUACAUUGCCUCUUCGCAAUUGUUGGAGGGGAUAUGUGUAAUCGGCUGGGUUAUGUUUGUGUAGUAUUUUAUCUGACACCUUGUGCGCUCUCUUAUCUUAUCUGAUUAGACGGAUGUUGUAGCGUGUCUCUAUUGGUUAUAGUUUAGCUGCCGCUAAACCUACCAUAUAGCCCCCGGCGAUAUAUAUAUUAUACUCGCCCGGCGAGCAUAGCCAUUUCUAGUCUCGCUAAGUACGUGCCGGAGUUCGUUCCUUGGUACUUACUCUCGCCUUUUCCCCUUUCUCUUUUGCUUCCUCCCUCUUGUCGGCAACCGAUGGCCCGACUUUGACAGGUACAAGAUGACGACGUUAGCAAGGUUACCCUUCCGGCUUGGCCUGGGCAGGGUUAUGGACGCCACUGGUUAUCUUCAGGACUCUUAGUCCAAGUUGUAUCUUGUCCGUACUCGGAUGUAUUCGAUCUUCUGUAUGAUUCGGAUCUUUGUAUGUAUCUAUUUGUAUCUUGACUCGUUGGAGUCGUUGUUGUAAUAUAUGUAUCUUGUGGGCUC